rnacentral:rRNA from 1 species
AUGGCAUCCUCCAAGAUCGUCCUGCCGUCUGUCAUCCUGGCGCUCCGGCUAGUGGCCAUGCUCCUCCUGGCCGGGUCGCUCGCCCUCAUCGUCACCGACAAAGUCGACGUCCGCAGCGAUCUCUUUGAGGGCGGCCGCUUCGUCUUAAAGUUCAAGGACAUCUACACCUACAGGUAUGUCGUGGCUAUUGCUGCCAUUGGAUGCGCGUACAGCCUCGUGCAGGCACCGCUCGCGGCCGUUGCCAUCGCUACGAAGAAGAGAGUGAUCGGAGGGACGGCAAAUGUGGCGCUGUUCCUCAUAUGCGCCGACGUGAUUUUUGUUAUAGCUUUUGCGACUGCCGCUGGGGCAAGCUACUGGUUCAGCACCGACGCGGAUCGCUACGUCGACGAGCUGUAUCCGGACAGCUUGACGAAGGCUAACCCGGACUUCAAAAGGCUCCGCCAAGAAUUGGACAUGUUCUUCGUGCGUGCCUCCGCGGCCGCGUUGCUCAUGCUGCUCGCUGCCAAAUGCACGGCGGCCGUUUUGGUGAACUCCGUCUACGCUCUUGUCAAGUAA